rnacentral:lncRNA from 1 species
UUCCAUCACAGCCAUGCUUGCUCAGCAGCCGUAGGCUUGACCGCACAGCCUGGGUGUCCAGAAAGAAAAAGAAGCUGCAGUUCUGGGCUGGGUCACCUGUCUCCACAGAUAGAUGAAGAAAGUGAAAGCUCGGAGAGGCGAAGUGCUUGAUGUCACAUGGUUAGGGAGCUACUGAAAUUCAGCUAAGCAAAUAAUUGAUUAAAAGAAGAUCGAACUCGGGUCCUUGCACUUGUGCAACCACUGAGCUAAAUCCCAGGCCCUUGCUGAUCUUAUAAAGGAGAGAAAUGUGGACACAGGAGAUCCAGAAGAUGUGGCAGGAUCCAAGGAAUGCCAAAGAUUGCCAGCAAAACAGCAGAAGUUAGGAAAAGGCCAUGGGACAGAUUCUCUUGCACAUCCUCAAAAGGAACCAACCCCACUAACACCUUGAUCUUGGACUUCUGGCCUCCUGACAUGUGAGAUGGCAAACUACUUAGUUUGUGGUACUCUGUUACAGUAGUCCAGCAAACUAAUACAGAUAAUGUAAGCAAAUACAGUCUGUGAAUCUGAUGACACUACCGAAAAUGUAUGAUUACUGCUUUAUUGUUUGUGAAGAUGUUGUUGAACCGGUUAGUGGAAAAUAAUCACAAAUGUUGACAUGUCUGUAAUGUACAAAAUGGUAUCAUCCAGGAGAACUGCUUGAGGUAUUCCACACAGAAAGGAGUUACUAGAAGGAACUUGAUGUUUGUAGAAUAUUUGAAAGGAGUAGAAGAGAAAAGUCAGGAAAAACUGUGGAUGGUUUCAGGAAAUUAAGGAGUUAUGAAAAUUAUAAAUAAAUCCUCAUCACCAAUGAUCUCAGCUACCAGAAACAUGAAAUAGAUGCAAAACUCACAGGAAGACAGAGGGAAGCCUUUGUAAAACCUCCUGCCUGCCUCCUGCCCGCCAACACGAGAGGACCAAUAAUAACUUGUUGCUCUUCCACCUUCCAGAUCUCACAAGAACAUCUCUAACUGGUGGACUCAAAACCAGAUAACAAGGGAAUCUGAGAAACGUAGACUUGUUUCCAGCUCCCUAUAUUGCAAGAACUCAAAAGGGCUGGAAUAGUUCUUCAGGCUAACAGAGAGUAUCCAGCAC